rnacentral:miRNA from 1 species
ACUGAGUUCGGGUGGUGGGUAGAUCUAAUUGACUCUAGCACCAUUUGAAUUCAGU